rnacentral:tRNA from 1 species
AAAUUAGUGGUGCAACGGAUAGCACGUAAGAUUCCGGUUCUUAAAAUGGGGGUUCGAUUCCCUCCGAGGGCGCUA